rnacentral:piRNA from 1 species
UGAGACAUUUCUCUUUGCUUAUAUUCGGUC